rnacentral:rRNA from 1 species
AGAGUUUGAUCCUGGCUCAGGAUGAACGCUAGCUACAGGCUUAACACAUGCAAGUCGAGGGGCAGCGGGAUUGAAGCUUGCUUCAAUUGCCGGCGACCGGCGCACGGGUGAGUAACGCGUAUCCAACCUUCCGUACACUCAGGGAUAGCCUUUCGAAAGAAAGAUUAAUACCUGAUAGUAUCUUAAGCACACAUGUAAUUAAGAUUAAAGAUUUAUCGGUGUACGAUGGGGAUGCGUUCCAUUAGGUAGUAGGCGGGGUAACGGCCCACCUAGCCAACGAUGGAUAGGGGUUCUGAGAGGAAGGUCCCCCACAUUGGAACUGAGACACGGUCCAAACUCCUACGGGAGGCAGCAGUGAGGAAUAUUGGUCAAUGGACGAGAGUCUGAACCAGCCAAGUAGCGUGAAGGAUGAAGGUCCUACGGAUUGUAAACUUCUUUUAUAAGGGAAUAAACCCUCCCACGUGUGGGAGCUUGUAUGUACCUUAUGAAUAAGCAUCGGCUAACUCCGUGCCAGCAGCCGCGGUAAUACGGAGGAUGCGAGCGUUAUCCGGAUUUAUUGGGUUUAAAGGGAGCGCAGACGGGUCGUUAAGUCAGCUGUGAAAGUUUGGGGCUCAACCUUAAAAUUGCAGUUGAUACUGGCGUCCUUGAGUGCGGUUGAGGUGUGCGGAAUUCGUGGUGUAGCGGUGAAAUGCUUAGAUAUCACGAAGAACUCCGAUUGCGAAGGCAGCACACUAAUCCGUAACUGACGUUCAUGCUCGAAAGUGUGGGUAUCAAACAGGAUUAGAUACCCUGGUAGUCCACACGGUAAACGAUGGAUACUCGCUGUUGGCGAUAUACUGUCAGCGGCUUAGCGAAAGCGUUAAGUAUCCCACCUGGGGAGUACGCCGGCAACGGUGAAACUCAACAUGUA